UUGCCCAAACGCUACCUACCCAGAAAAAAGCUGCCUACUCAAAUUCUUUUAUCGUCCUGAUUUGAAGAAGUUUUUUUUUAAUCAAAUAGGCAUGAAGACUAAUAAACAUCUGAUACUUCAAUUUCUUUUUUUUUGAAAAAAAAAAGAAAAUGCCUACCUACCUACUCACUGUCUCAACUUUUGGGUAGGGUUUGGGCAAACCAAAAUAUUUUAAAGUGUGGCCUUAC
rnacentral:lncRNA from 1 species